rnacentral:rRNA from 1 species
GAGACCCAUGCGUUUAGUUACUAACUUCCUCUCCGGAGGAGGUGUACUCUAAACGGACUGCCCGUGCAAAAUGGGAGGAAGGAGUGGGCGACGGUAGGUCAGUAUGGUCCGAAACACUUGGGCUACACGCGGCAUACAGUGGAUGGAACAAUGGGCUGCAACUUCGAAAGGAGGAGCCAAUCCCCUAAAUCCAUCCGUGGUUCGGAUCGAGGGUUGCAACUCACCCUCGUGAAGAUGGAAUGGCUAGUAAUCGCGUGUCACUAUCACGCGGUGAAUGU